rnacentral:rRNA from 3 species
UAGGGAAUCUUCGGCAAUGGACGAAAGUCUGACCGAGCAACGCCGCGUGAGUGAAGAAGGUUUUCGGAUCGUAAAACUCUGUUGUUAGAGAAGAACAAGGACGUUAGUAACUGAACGUCCCCUGACGGUAUCUAACCAGAAAGCCACGGCUAACUACGUGCCAGCAGCCGCGGUAAUACGUAGGUGGCAAGCGUUGUCCGGAUUUAUUGGGCGUAAAGCGAGCGCAGGCGGUUUCUUAAGUCUGAUGUGAAAGCCCCCGGCUCAACCGGGGAGGGUCAUUGGAAACUGGGAGAGUUGAGUGCAGAAGAGGAGAGUGGAAUUCCAUGUGUAGCGGUGAAAUGCGUAGAUAUAUGGAGGAACACCAGUGGCGAAGGCGGCUCUCUGGUCUGUAACUGACGCUGAGGCUCGAAAGCGUGGGGAGCAAACAGG